rnacentral:rRNA from 1 species
ACUCAAAGGAAUAGACGGGGGCCCGCACAAGCGGUGGAGCAUGUGGUUUAAUUCGAAGCAACGCGAAGAACCUUACCAAGGCUUGACAUCCCAACGAUCGGUGUAGAGAUACACUUUCCCUUCGGGGCGUUGGUGACAGGUGGUGCAUGGUUGUCGUCAGCUCGUGUCGUGAGAUGUUGGGUUAAGUCCCGCAACGAGCGCAACCCUUAUCUUUAGUAGCCAUCGGGUAAUGCCGGGCACACUAGAGAGACUGCCGUGGAUAACACGGAGGAAGGUGGGGACGACGUCAAAUCAUCAUGCCCCUUAUGUCUUGGGCUACACACGUGCUACAAUGGAAACUACAAAGUGAAGCGAGACGGCGACGUGGAGCAAAUCACAAAAAGGUUUCCUCAGUUCGGAUUGCAGGCUGCAACCCGCCUGCAUGAAGUUGGAAUCGCUAGUAAUCGCGAAUCAGCAUGUCGCGGUGAAUACGUUCCCGGGCCUUGCACACACCGCCCGU